AGUGCUUGCUUGGGCAGUGCAUAGUAAAACUGGAACAAUACAGAGAAGAUUAGCAUGGUCCCUGUGCAAGGAUGACUGCAAAUUCAUGAAGCAUUUCAUGUUUUC